AGUGAACGCUGGCGGUAGGCCUAACACAUGCAAGUCGAACGGCAGCACAGUAAGAGCUUGCUCUUACGGGUGGCGAGUGGCGGACGGGUGAGGAGUACAUCGGAAUCUACUUUUUCGUGGGGGAUAACGUAGGGAAACUUACGCUAAUACCGCAUACGACCUACGGGUGAAAGCAGGGGAUCUUCGGACCUUGCGCGAUUGAAUGAGCCGAUGUCGGAUUAGCUAGUUGGCGGGGUAAAGGCCCACCAAGGCGACGAUCCGUAGCUGGUCUGAGAGGAUGAUCAGCCACACGGGAACUGAGACACGGUCCAGACUCCUACGGGAGGCAGCAGUGGGGAAUAUUGGACAAUGGGCGCAAGCCUGAUCCAGCCAUACCGCGUGGGUGAAGAAGGCCUUCGGGUUGUAAAGCCCUUUUGUUGGGAAAGAAAAGCAGCAGGUUAAUACCCCGCUGUUCUGACGGUACCCAAAGAAUAAGCACCGGCUAACUUCGUG
rnacentral:rRNA from 1 species